UCCUACGGGAGGCAGCAGUGGGGGAUAUUGCACAAUGGGGGAAACCCUGAUGCAGCGACGCCGCGUGUGGGAAGACGGUCCUCUGGAUUGUAAACCACUGUCCCCAGGGACGAAGAUGACGGUACCUGGGGAGGAAGCUCCGGCUAACUACGAGCCAGCAGCCGCGGCAAUACGUAGGGAGCGAGCGUUGUCCGGAAUUACGGGGUGUAAAGGGAGAGUAGGCGGGGAAGCAAGUUGGGUGGCAAAAUUACAGG
rnacentral:rRNA from 1 species